UCUCGGCAACGGAUAUCUCGGCUCUCGCAUCGAUGAAGAACGUAGCGAAAUGCGAUACCUGGUGUGAAUUGCAGAAUCCCGUGAACCAUCGAGUCUUUGAACGCAAGUUGCGCCCGAGGCCAUCCGGCCGAGGGCACGCCUGCCUGGGCGUCACGCCAAAAGACGCU
rnacentral:rRNA from 1 species